rnacentral:rRNA from 1 species
GACGAACGCUGGCGGCGUGCUUAAUACAUGCAAGUCGAACGGAAAGGCGCUGCUCUUGUGGGGUGCUCGAGUGGCGAACGGGUGAGUAAAACGCGAGUAACCUGCCCUUGACUGUGGGAGAACUUCAGGAAACUGGGGCUAAUACCGGAUAGGAGAUUCUGCUGCAUGGUGGGGGUUGGAAAGUUUCGGCGGUUGGGGAUGGACUCGCAGCUUAUCAGCUUGUUGGUGGGGUAGUGGAUUACCAAGGCUUCGAAGGGUAGGCCGCAUGGGAGCGUGGACGGCGACAAUGCUACUGAGGGACGGAGCAGUCUCGUACGGGACGCAGCAGUCGAAAAUAUUGCGCAAUAAGCGGGAGCCAGAUGCGGCGACGUCGCGUGCGGGAUGACGGCUUUCUGGUUGUGAACCGCUGUCGAAUUAGACGAAGCGUGAGUGACGGUACUGGGUAAGAAAGCACCGGCUAACUACGUG